CCCCUCGACACUUUCCGAGGUGAUUGAAGAUCCAACAUGGAGGUUAGAAAGGAAUGCAAUCCGCCGGAGAGUUCGGUCCACUCCUCUGUUUAUGUUCUAGUAAACAAAACUCUGUGGCCAUGGCAGUGCAGAGGAGAUACCAUUUGGGACCGGGAUGACGGGGGGAAUUAUCGUUGAAAACAUUGAUGACAAAAUAGGACUGACUCCUCCCUGUAGCUUUUGGGAAUUUUUUGCCACAUAAAGAUAACGCAAUGAAUGAAGUGAGGUAAUGAGAAAAGCUGAAAUCUGAAAAGAAAAGAAAAAUCAAGAAACAAAAAAAAUGAGUACCUCUCAAGGAAUCACUGGAAAUGUUUUACAUUUUAACAGUUGCACUAAAAUGAAGAUGUAAAGAAGAUGCUUUUUUUUCCGGGGUCAGCAGUUGCCAGUUUGCUUUGCAAGGACAACAUGUUUUCGGUAUUUUUUUCUCUCCAGACUAAACAAUGAAUGCUUUAAUUUGCAAAAGACUUCACAAUCGCUGUAAAGUUAAAAGCAAAUCGUGGUGACUUUUGGAAUACACCAUCACAGGAGGAUUAAAAUGGUUUAAAUGUAAGUGAUAUUCUUUUUUCUCUCAUUUCCGGUGGGUUGGGGCUUUACAAAUGUGUGGGGUCUUUUGCAGUUGCAACUUAAGAAAAAAAAAAUCUAGAAAAUAAUUUCUUGUAGUUUUAUGAUCCAUAUGUCCUUAGUGUCUGGCAUUGUUAUUUUCUUAUCACCUUUAAAAGGAAAAAAAAAAGAAAAAGAUAAAAAAACAAGAGCUUCAAGAUGAUGAAAUGGUGUUUGGUUGCUUUUUUAAAGAAACAGCGUUGUGCUUCAAAAAAACAUAACAAAAGAAAAAACACAACAGUGAAGAACUGGUUCAAUGUUUGCUCAUAUUCAUGUUACCUGAGACACUGACAUUUUUGUUACAGUAUUGCCAAUGCCACCCAGGUGUUAUUUUGCCUUAAUGUUUAAUGAUAUUGCCAUGAUUUCCUUUUUUUGUUUUUUGGGGGGUGGGGUGGGGGAUUGGGUGGUUGUUUGGAGGGGUGUGUGUAUUUGAUUUGAUUCACUCCUGAGGAGAACUUCUUGUUUCACAUCGAUGUGAAGUGCAUGUCCAUCUUCAAAACACUGGUCCACUCCCAUAAGCAUCACAGGCCAUACACUGAGCAGCCGUUUUUGUUCUGCAAUAGUUUGUUACACCCCGCAGUGUGCUCAUAGCACAGGGAGUGUGUGUGUGUGUGUGUGUGUGUGUGUGUGUGUGUGUGUGUGUGUGUGUGUGUGUGUGUGUGUGUGUGUGUGUGUGUGUGUGUGUGUGUGUGUGUGUGUGUGUGGGCGUGUGUGUGGUCAUGCACAUGGUUAAACGUGCGCAUGAGUGUAUGUGUGUGUGGGGGCAUGCACAUUGCUGAAUGCGUGCAUGUGUGUGUGUGUGUGUGUGUGUGUGUGUGUGUGUGUGUGUGUGUGUGUGUGUGUGUGUGUGUGUGUGUGUGUGUGUGUGUGUGUGUGUGUGUGUGUGUGUGUGUGUGGGCGUGCACACAGCUUAAAGUGUGUGUGAGUGUGUAUGUGUGAGUGAGUGCGUGUGUGUUUGGGCGUGCACAUGGUUAAAUGUGUGCACGGUGGUAUGUGUGUGUAUGGGGGCUGUGCACAUGGCUUAACGUGUGAUUGUGUCAAUGUGUGUGUGUGGGCGUGCACAUGGCUAAACGAUUGCAUGCGUGUGUGUGUUCAAGUCUGUGCAUGACAGAGUGCGCUCAUGAGUGUGAAUGUGUGUGCAGUGGGUGCAGAGUCAGACAACAGUCACUUCAAGACCAGAGCCUUAGGAUGAAAUAUUGCACAAUUUGUAAAAAAAAUAAAAAUCUAAAAGGUAACAGAAAAAACUAAACAUGAAAAAAAAACAUUUAAGGCACACGUCUUGUUUUUACCUUCCCUAUAUUUGCUCUCUACUGAUUGUUUUCAAGAAGUUACUUUUUCUCUUGUGGCCAUUUUAAUAUUUAUUAUGUAUUAUUUUUUUGUAUAUUAUAGAUAGAUUGUGUGUAAGUAUGUGAGUCUUUCAUUUUGAAGUCCCGAAUGUGAGUACAGUUUCGGUUUAGGAUUGCAUUUGCUGAAAGUUAACUGUGUAAUCUGUUGCUUACAUUUUUGAAAAAUAAAAAUUUUCCAUUUUGCAAAA
ensembl:lncRNA